UACGGAGGGUGCAAGCGUUAUCCAGAAUUAUUGGGUUUAAAGGGUGCGUAGGCGGCCAUUUAAGUCAGCGGUGAAAUUUUGCAGCUUAACUGUAACAGUGCCGUUGAUACUGUUUGGCUAGGAUUUGGUUGUAGUGUGCGGAAUGUGUGGUGUAGCGGUGAAAUGCUUAGAUAUCACACAGAACACCGAUUGCGAAGGCAGCACACUAAGUCAUUAUUGACGCUGAGGCACGAAAGUGUGGGGAUCAAACAGGAUUAGA
rnacentral:rRNA from 1 species